CAAAGUCGGUGGGUUUACCACCAGCUUUGCCUCCCCUUCUUCUUCCUCUGCACAAAUAUAACAAACCAAACUCUUACAAAUAUGCAACCUCCUCUCCUCAACCAAAUCAAGAACACAACAAUCUCUACAAAUCUUCAAAUAUGCUUACAAUUCAACAACAAUCUCUACAAAAACAUAACCCAACUCUACAAUCCACCUUCGAACAAAACUACAAAAACAUAAGCAACCUCCUCUCCUCAACCAGAUCAAGAACACUCCGUGAGGGAAUACAACUCCAUGCUCAAAUAAUCAAACUAGGGCUCCAAACAAUACCACUCAUUUCCCACUAUUUAAUCAAUUUCUACUCCAAAACCAAGCUCCCGAUCGACUCACAACAAGUUUUUGAAGAAACCCAUAUCAAAUCAUCAACCACUUGGAGUUCUGUUAUCUCAUCUUUCGCCCAGAACGAACUCCCGGUUCUUGCGUUACAAUAUUUCAAAAAAAAAAAAAUGAUUGCUUUUGGUCUUCGUCCUGUUGAUCAUAUAGUUCCCAGUGCUACUAAAGCACAUCAGUUGCGAUUCUUUCGAGUUGGUGUGUGCAUUGUUAUGCGGUGAAGAUUGCUUACGAUGCCGAUGUGUUUGUUGCGAGUUAGGUGGUGGAUGUGUAUGCUAAAUGUGGGAGGAAUGGAGAUGCGCGUAAGGUGUUUGAUGAAAUGCCUGUGAGGAAUGUGGUGUCUUGGAAUGGGAUGAUUUAUGGGUAUGCUCAGUUGUUUAAACAAGCUUUGUUUGAGAGAUUUGAGGUUAAUGAUUUUACGUUUACGAGUGUUAUUAGAGUUUGCGGUAACACAACGCUUCUCGGGUUGGGAAAACAGUUACACAGAUUGUGUUUAAAAUUGAUCUUUGGUUCGUCUAGCUUUGUCGGGAGUUCUUUGAUUUCUGCUACAAUAAAUAUUAUAUGAAUAAUAAAGCUACCAAAAAUGAGUAUCGCAAUGCGAUAUGUCGCUCGCCAUUUUACAGACAAAGAGGAAGAAGAACAGUAAAAGUGGCUGAAUGGAGCACGGCGUAUUGCGUCCCGCAGAUAGGAGUCAUAUCGGACGACAUAUAUCUCUUUCGAAAUUCAUAAGGUUCGGUCAACGAAGCUCUCUGGUGGUCUUUGUCUAGCAACAUCAUAUCAGGUAUUUUGUAGUUUCAAGAUGUGGUCAAACAUACACACUUUUCCAGAUACGGGUCACUGUUAUCGUCACCACCAGAUAUCCACGCUUUGCGUUCACCGACUCCUCCCAACCUUCGACGGCAUACAUAGUCAGUGUUAGCAACAAGCGGGAUUUUGGCAUCAAUAACAAAACUGGGAUUGACUACAGAGCUAAUUAACAAAGGCAAUAACUUUUGUAUUAAAAAAGAAAGAGACAUAGACUAAUGUUAAAAGAAUAUAAAGUAUGUAAACUAUAGUUUUUAAUAUAAUGCAAUCGACUCUACUUAAUGAAGCCUAAUGAACACGUAAUACG